GUACAAACUUCAAUGGGUUAAUUUUUUUGCGUGCACGCAGUGCAGACGCCGAUGUUACUUUGGAGACGUGUAUUUCUGCUCUUUUAGAGUAAUUGAAAUACAUAAACGCGUCGUUGUUUGACGUCAUCGUCAGCGAUCGCCUCGAGUCGAUCGGACCGGCCGAGCCAAUCGGGUACUGUUGAAGAAAUGGUACCUAUACAAAUGAGAAAUAAACUUCGGAAGAAGAAAGAACAAAGUCCAACAGAGUAAACCAAGUGACGUCCGUGACAUCACAUCAUUUGUUGCUGUUUGAGAUCCGUGGAUCUGCCACUGUGGACAGACAGUCAUCAUGAGACAG